rnacentral:rRNA from 1 species
UACAGAGGGUGCAAACGUUAAUCGGAAUUACUGGGCGUAAAGCGUGCGUAGACGGUUGCAUAAGUCAGAUGUGAAAGCCCCGGGCUCAACCUGGGAAUUGCAUUUGAGACUGUGUAGCUAGGGUGCGGAAGAGGGAAGCGGAAUUUCCGGUGUAGCGGUGAAAUGCGUAGAUAUCGGAAGGAACACCAGUGGCGAAAGCGGCUUCCUGGUCCAGCACCGACGUUCAGGCACGAAAGCGUGGGGAGCAAACAGG